ACGAACCGUGCGAACGUUGUUCGGAUUCACUGGGCUUAAAGGGCGCGUAGGCGGCUUGCCAAGUCAGGGGUGAAAUCUUUCGGCUCAACCGGAAAAGUGCUUCUGAUACUGGCAGGCUGGAGGGAGGUAGGGGCAGAUGGAACUUCCGGUGGAGCGGUGAAAUGCGUAGAUAUCGGAAGGAACGCCGGUGGCGAAAGCGAUCUGCUGGAUCUCUUCUGACGCUGAUGCGCGAAAGCCAGGGGAGCAAACGGGA
rnacentral:rRNA from 1 species